AACAGAAAGUUCACUGAAAAGUCCUUUAUUUUUCCUCCUCCAGCUCAAACCCACUCUGUUACUGUACUAUGCAAGCUGUUUGCUUUCUACUGCUUGGGAGUUUAGGCUGUUUGGAGAGUUUGCAAGUGAAUCUUUUCCACAGAAGAUUUUUGUAGCCAUGUUAUACUGCUAUCAAAAAGAUCUGAAUCAACUGAGGAGUGGCUGUACUGUAAAUGCACUCGUAUCUUCACUGGAAUGAAACUUGGUUUUCUGAAAGUUUCACAUCUGGCAGGAGUCAGGAAAGGUAAGAUUAACUUCUAGCACU
rnacentral:lncRNA from 14 species